UCUGGCCCCGAGAGGCGUUGCAGGUGUGGCUGCUGUGUCGCAUGUCCAUCAGUAGGUGCCAGAGUAGGUGGAGAGAGGCUAUGUCUACACUCAAAAGUUCUGACCCCUGAACACCUGAAUGAGUACUAGCCUAACCCU